UACGGAGGGUGCAAGCGUUAUCCGGAUUCACUGGGUUUAAAGGGUGCGUAGGUGGGCAAGUAAGUCAGUGGUGAAAUCUCCGGGCUUAACCCGGAAACUGCCAUUGAUACUAUUUGUCUUGAAUACUGUGGAGGUUAGCGGAAUAUGUCAUGUAGCGGUGAAAUGCUUAGAUAUGACAUAGAACACCAAUUGCGAAGGCAGCUGGCUACACAAAUAUUGACACUGAGGCACGAAAGCGUGGGGAUCAAACAGG
rnacentral:rRNA from 1 species